rnacentral:tRNA from 1 species
GCCCGGCUGGUUUAUCUGGUAGGGCAUGAGACUCUUGAUCUUGGGAUCAUGAGUUUGAGCCCCAUGUUGGGUG